CCUGAAACACGCGGUUACGCGGUCAUCGUCCGGUUAUAGCUGGGUACGUCUGUUACAGGGAGUGUUCAAAAAGUGUUGAAAUCAAUAAACGCUAAUAAACUCUUUGAACGGCUUAUUGUUUAUCAUAUUAUUUAUAUGCAUGUAUGUGAAUUUCAUAGUUCUCAUGAUAAAAUAUGUAACAAAAUUUGACUAUAUAUAUUUUAUGCAUAAUUAUUAAAUAUUAAAUAAAUUUAUAUAAUGUACUCGUGUAUUUUAAAUUAAUUUCAAAUACUUAUUUUUAUGUAUUUUGGGUAUUUAGAAACAAUUAAACAAAAAAUAUACGUAAAUAAUUUAAUGCGUUUAACAUCAAACUAUUUUGUACAUAUAUCUACAUAAUCUAUGGAAGAAGAAUCAUACUAAAGAUAAUUUUAUAAUAAUUUUAUUAUGUUUCUUAAAAAUAAUAUAUCAAUUAAUAGUUAUAAAUGAAAAUUUCCAAUACUUAGUUAAUAUAACCUUAAAUGUGUGAUAAAUUAUAAUUUUUACCACCCUUACUGAACUAUAUAAAAAAUGAAGUUAAUAGGGGCUAGUAAAUUAUAACACAUUUUGGUUUAUUAUUAUAAAGAAUACCGUACCGGCAACAUAAUCUCCGUAGCCGAUGGUGGUCAACGUGACAAAAGUGAAAUAUACGCUUUCGUCAAAUGUCCAAUUUUCAAAAUAGGAUAUGAUUCCGGAUGGGAUGAAGAUGAAGACAAUUAUUCCAGGUAUCAGAUACGUAACUAUGUCCAAGAUGAGGCUCAGUUGGGGUCCCAUCAUCCGUUGCGUCUUGUAGCUGUAAUGAGCUCGGAGAAUCUGUGGCGUAUUUAGGAAAAAAUUUAAAAAUUAUUAUUAUUGAGUUUGAAUUUCUAACAUUUAUGUGUAACGGUUAAAUACAUAAAACCUUUAAUGCAUUAUGAAAUUUUAAA